UCGGGGCGUAGCGCAGUCUGGUUAGCGCACCUGAAUGGGGUUCAGGGGGUCGGAGGUUCAAAUCCUCUCGCCCCGAU
rnacentral:tRNA from 1 species